ensembl:snRNA U6 U6 spliceosomal RNA
GUGCUCGUUUCGGCAGCACAUAUACAAAAAUUGGAACGAUACAGAGAAGAUUAGCCUGGCCCCUGCGCAAGAAUGACACACAAAAUUCGUGAAGUGUUCCUUAUUUUU